GAUCACCUUAGUAUUUCUUCUGUUUUUCUUGUUGCUUAAUGCUGACGAAUUUUAUCUUAAGUGCAGUUUUUCUGGCAGACUGAUUCUGUUUCCUUUUUCUUUCUGUCCGAGAUGCGGCUGGAUCCAUCUACUGCACUGGAGGAAUAAUGUG